rnacentral:lncRNA from 1 species
AUUUAUCUCCAAGAACCUACAAUGACCCAUGUAGCAUUACUUUCGACCAUGUUUCAAGUAAUCUAAAAAAGUAUCUACAUGACAAACUGGACAAGCUAGUUUACCUUUAGUGCUCCAACCAGACAAAAUACCAUAAGCAGGAAAAUCAUUGAUUGUCCACAAUAAAGAAGUAAGUAAUUAAAAAUUUUAUUUCACAAAAGCAUCAUAAGUCUCAAUUCCAUCCACCCAUAAUAUAUUCAAAUCAUCAAUCAAGGGUUGGAGAUACACGUCAAUAUCCAUACCAACACUUUUUGGUCCAGGAAUAAGUAAGGACAAUAAUAGACUAAAUUGUUUCAGGCAUAUCCAUAGGGGAAGAUUAUAUGGAAUCAAGGUGACAGGCCACAUGCUAUAUGAAUUAUUCAUUGAACCAAAGGGAUUAAAUCCAUCUGAAGCAAGUCCAAGUCUUGUACUAUGAGGAUCUGAAGCAAAAUUUGGAUAUUUUUUAUCAAAAGUUUUUCAUGCCAAUGAGUCAGCUGGAUGUCUUAACAAUCCAUCAACAAUUCAUUUAUUUUUCAGCCACCUUAUUUCUUAUACGAUUCCUUUCGUCAUAAAUAGUCGUUGUAAUCUAGGUAUUAUAGGAAAGUAGCUAAGAAUCUUUCUUGGAAUACCCCUAUUUUCUUAUUCAAAUUAUCUGAAGCAACCUCAUCAUUAACAUCUCCUUUUCUUAUUGUCCAUCUUUUUUCACCACAUUUAGGAAAUUGUUCAAGAUCAGUAUAUUCCUUUCUAUAUAAGAUGCAAUUAUUAACACAAGCAUCUAUCUUCACAUAAUCUAAACCCGAAUCUUUUAUUAUCUUUUGAGCUUCAUAAAUAUAAUUUGGAAGCACAUUCUCUUUGGGUAAAGCAUCACUCAGUAAUUUCAACAAAUAAUCAAAUGAGGUAUUACUCCAUCCUUGCAUACACUUCAUUUGAAAAAGACGUACUAUAAAAGAGAGUUUGGAGAUCUUUUCACAAUUUGGAUACAACUCUUUUUGUGCUUCCUCUAAUAACCUAAAGAAACUUCAGCUUCUAUAUUAGGCUCUUCAUGCUCUGACUCAGUUGUCUCAUUAAAUUCAUGAUUAUUAUUGGGAACAACAUGAUACAUAUCAUGCAACAUUUCAAAAAUGGGAGCAUCAUCAGGUUCUAAAUUUGAAUCUUCACUAAUAUUUGUUUCAUUAUUUGAAGAUAAAUCUGGCUCACCAUGAUUAAUCCACCUUUUAUAAGUUUGGAUUAUCCCCCAUCUACGUAAGUCUGUUCUUACUUUGUCUCACAUUUUCCAAAGAACAUAAUUACAUUUCGUGCACAGACAUUGAAUUCUUACACCAACCUUAAGAUUGGAAAAUGUAAAGUUUAGAAAUUGUUCCACACUAUUUAAGUAUUGCGUUAACGUCCUAUUUCCAAUAUGCAUCCAACUUUAUCCAUUAUAUACUUACCUAUAGAGAGUUCCAUAUCAAUAAACAUAAAAUUAUAUGAAUUUUUCUUAGUAAAAAAAUAAAUAAAGUAAAUGUUCAUAUUAUAAAAAAUAAUAAACCCCCGGCUCAAGAUAAAGAAUAAUAAACAAGGGGAUGGAUGACAUAAUAGAAAUAACAACAACAACAACAAAAAACCCAGUGUAUUCCCACAAAGUGAGGCCGGUAGCACUAGUGAAGGACUAUGACCUCCAUAUCCAUACAAUUUAGCUAUAUGAAGAUUUCUGCUUGAAACAUGUGGGGGUUUAAUAAGCUGUAUCAAAAUAAGAAACUCCCCCAAAUAAUUCAGAAAGAGAGAUCGGUGGUAUUAGAUACUAUAGAAUAUAAAGUUAAUGAGAGAAAGGCUCAAAGUAUUAUGAAUAAAGUAGUACCUGGAUGGAAAUGCUGAGAACUAUGCAUUAAAUAAAAGAGUAAAAUUUGGGUGAUGUGGAACUUUAAAUUUUUCGAUGUCAAUGCUAUGCAUACAAAUCCACAACUAAUCCAAUACCUAGUCAAGAAUCUAGCCACCAAUAUAAUGGUAGAGUAUACUGUUGUGUAUGGCAUGAAUACUUUUAAUGACAUGAAAGGACUAUGGGAUGCUCUGGAUGCA